rnacentral:rRNA from 1 species
UGGGGAAUAUUGCACAAUGGGGGAAACCCUGAUGCAGCGACGCCGCGUGAGCGAAGAGGGUUUUCGAAUCGUAAAGCUCUGUCCUAUGAGAAGAUAAUGACGGUAUCAUAGGAGGAAGCCCCGGCUAAAUACGUGCCAGCAGCCGCGGUAAUACGUAUGGGGCGAGCGUUGUCCGGAAUUAUUGGGCGUAAAGGGUACGUAGGCGGUCUAUUAAGUCAGGUGUGAAAGCGUGAGGCUUAACCUCAUUAAGCACUUGAAACUGAUAGACUUGAGUGAAGGAGAGGAAAGUGGAAUUCCUAGUGUAGCGGUGAAAUGCGUAGAUAUUAGGAGGAAUACCGGUGGCGAAGGCGACUUUCUGGACUUUUACUGACGCUCAGGUACGAAAGCGUGGGGAGCAAACAGG